GAUCGAAUUACACCUGCUCUAAUGGAAAAAAGGUGGAGCGCAGCAUAAGACCAACAGACGUCCUAAUAAUGUGCAGUCUGCUGACACUGGAUGACUGGAAACAGCAGAGAUGAAGGAGCUAUGGGUUAUGGCUGUCUUUGCUACAGUCUCUUUAUCACAGGGGGAUCUCACCACAUCAUCUGCCAUUCCAACCACCAUUGACAUAACUACCCCAACUACUGAUGUCCUUUUAAACCCUGACCCUCCAGCUAGUCCCCCACGAACUACCUACACUCCAACUACCGGCACUCCAACUACUUACACUCCAACUACUGCUGCCCCUUUAACACCUGACCCUCCAACUACUGACUCUCCAGCUACCGACACUCCAGCAGCCGACAAUCCAGCAACCGACAGUCCAGCAACCGGCACUCCAAUUACAUACCCUCCAACUACCGAGAAUCCAACUACUGACACUCCAGCAACCGACACUCCACCAACCGACCCUAAAACUACUGAUCUUCCAACUACCGACUCUUCAACUACCGAAUGUCCAACUACUGAUACUCCAACUACCGACUUUCCAACUACCGACACUCCAACUAUCGAUACUCCAACUACCGACUCUCCAACAACCGACACACCAACUACCGGCACGCCAACGACCGACACUCAAGCUACAGUCACUAAAACUACCGACUGUCCAACUACUGACUGUCCAACAACCUACACAUCAACAUCUGACACUACAGCUACUGAAACUCCAGCAACCGACACUAAAACUACUGAUCCUCCAACUACCAACCUUCCAACUACCGACCUUCUCACUACCGACCCUCCAGCUUACGAAAUAUCAUUAAACUACACUCCAAAUACCAACUUACCAACUACCCACUACCCAACUACCGACUUUCCAACAACGGACACUCCAGAAACCGGCACUCCAGCAACCGACCUACAAGCAACCGACCUUCCAGCAACAGACUUUCCAACUUCCGAUACUACAGCUACCAACACUCCAGCAGCCGACACUCCAGCAACCGACACUCCACCAACCGACACUCCAACAACCGAAACGCCCACUAUCGACACUCCAACUACUGAAUGUCCACCUACUGACACUCCAAUUACCGACUCUCCAACCACCGACACUCCAGCUACAGUCACUAAAACUACCAACUGUCCAACUACCAACUUUCCAACAACUGACACUCCAGCAACCGACACACAAGCAACCGACACUCCAACUACCGAAACGCCAACUGCCAACACUCCAACUACGGAAUGUCCAACUACUGACACUCCAAUUACCGACUUUCCAACUACCAACACUCCAACUAUCGAUACUCCAACUACCGACUCUCCAACUACCGACUGUCCAACUACCGACUGUCCAACUACAGACCCUCCAAAUACCGACACUCCAACAACAGGCACGCUAUCAACCGGCACGCCAACAACCGACACGUCAAUAUCUGACACUACAUCUACCAACACUCCAGCAACCAACACUCCAGCAAUGGACAUUCCAACUACCGAUGCUCCAACUACUGACACACCAACUACUGGCUGUCCAACUACUGACUGUCCAACUACCGACUUCACAACUACCGACACUCCAAAUACCGGCACGCCACCGACAUCUGACACGCUAACAACCGACAUGCCAACAACCGAGACGCCAACAACUGACAUUCCAACUACCGACAUUUCAACUACUGAACAUACUUCACUUCCAUACACAAUAGUGUGUGGACCAAUUACCACUCCCCCCAUCACCUCUCCCACCACCACCUUUCCCACCACCACCUUUCCCACCAC
ensembl:lncRNA